UACGUAGGGUCCGAGCGUUGUCCGGAAUUACUGGGCGUAAAGAGCUCGUAGGUGGUUUGUCGCGUUGUUCGUGAAAACUCACAGCUCAACUGUGGGCGUGCGGGCGAUACGGGCAGACUUGAGUACUGCAGGAGAGUGGAAUUCCUGGUGUAGCGGUGAAAUGCGCAGAUAUCAGGAAGAACACCCGUGGCGAAGGCGGCUCUCUGGGACGGUACUGACGCUGAGACGCGAAAGCGUGGGGAGCGAACAGG
rnacentral:rRNA from 1 species